AACCUUAUGGACCUGCGGGCGUAUACCUGCGGAAGGAUCAUCAUCGAAUUCAUAUCCCCCUCCUCUCCCGGAGGGGGACCCAUGAUAAACCCUUCUGUGCACCGUAAACCGUUCACUUUGGCAGGCUUUGGUGGUGAGCGUGAGCUCGCCUCCAACCUCGCGUUCCCUCCCUCAAAAGGGGCGUUACGCGUGGCGGCCUGCCGGAGUCCUAUUAAAAAACUCGUUUUCGAACACGUCUGA
rnacentral:misc_RNA from 1 species